UUCAGACCCGUGGAUACGAUCCUCCCGGCCUAGAAAGAUAUACAAUGAGAACCAGACAAUGAGCUGAUUGUUUCGAGUUCGUGUUCCGAUAGUUACGCCGUGUUUGUUCCCGUGAGAAGGUAACCACAUCGUUGUUCGACUUACAUUUUUUUACGUCAGAUUGAGUUAUUACGCUUACAUUGCAAUCAUCAAUGAUCGUAAAGAAUUUUCUAACUUUUUUGUACAUUGACGACUUAUAAAAAUAGAAAAUUUCCUCGUCCAUGUAAUCUAUUAGAUAAAUAAGAUUCUUUAACCAUAGAAAUGAAAACUAUAGAUAAACCGCGAAAAAUUGGCAAUUCAAAAUUAAUUGUCGAAAAAUAUAAUUACAAAUUUUUUUCUCUUUGAUAAAUAGGUAUAUUAAAUAACAAUUAAUUGAAAAUGAAUUGAUACAAACAACUUCUUUACUGUUCAAACACAAUCCCCUGAAAAAGAUCAUCGUGCUGACAGAGGGGAGGCGAGUGUAUACAUACGGCUACAUUCACCGAUUUCAUGGUAAAUCGAGCGUUUCUUAGCCAUAGGAUCUGGUGUGCCCUUACGCAAACCCAUUGUACACGAGUGCCUCCUGUGGUGUUACGGUAGAAUGAGAAUACAACGCGGAUUGGUCCGCAGGUCGUCCUAUCUUCAAAAUAGCAUUACCAGCGUUCAUAAUGGUUCAACCGGUGCGUUGUUAAUGUGGUAGUAUAUAAGGAAUUUGUGCUAUGACGGGCAAACAAGAAAAGAAACGAAUAAACUAACAAACGUUUCUCUAUCCAUUAAGACGAUACGUGACAAAAGAGAUUAUAUACGUCUAUAUUUUUCGACAACAAGAAACAAGAAGAUUUGCUCAAGAUGCUCGGUGAAUGCUUGUUUUCAAGUUGGAAAUUUAUUUUAAUUUUGCAUGUUACAGAAAGAUACAUAUUUUACGAACUGUGAAUUAUCCCGCGAAUAUUUUUUCAACAAAGCGACGAACAUUAAUACACAGCAAUAAUCAACGAUGUAAAUUUAUUAUGUAUUAAUGUCUCGAUGUGAAAAUAAAAAUAAUCGAAACGAGGUUAGCGCAAAUAAGCUUCUUGACUCGAGACGGUUAUACUAUCGAAAAGUGCUACACAGAUAAGGGCCUCGAUAGGGUGGUACAGGCGAUGACGGUGAUUUAAUAUUUUUCUUGUUAUGAGUAUAAGCUCACUAGUUUAUUCUGAAAACAGUAGCCAAGCACUGCUUCGUGUCCUCGUGCAAAACCACCUGCUCGAAUGAACAACUAUCGCGGGUAUCGUCGUCACAAUCUAGAUCUUACUUAUUUACUCACAUAUUUACUUGUUAUAUUUUUUUUCAGUUUUUCUAUUAUUUUUAAUGUUUUGAGUAAUCGAUAUCUUGUACGCUGAAAAGUUAAACGAUCUUUUCAACAAUUCUAUUUACAUAUUACUUAUUUUAUGCAUCAUUUUUUUCAUACCAUUAAUCGAAAAUAAUGUUCAUAUAUAUAUGGAUUCAAAACAAUUUAUAUAAAUUUUAUAUUACUGCGAUAAAGUAAAAUUUUUACGAUGCAAUCAUGAAAAUAACAUUUGGUUUUAUACGAAUUCCAGACAUGGUACAUUUGUAUUUAGUUCACAAACAUGACAAAGCAACAGAGAAAAAGAAAAAGCAAGUUCUAUGCAUUUACGUGAUUAUUUCGAGAAGUUGAGUCGCCGAGACGCGUCCGUGUCACUGAUGGAUCUCACUAACGAGCACAACUGAUGAUUGACAAAAUAUUCUCAGUGUGAGACCGAAUUUAGAGUUAAAAGGAAAAAUUUUAAGAAAUGGACAAUAGAAAAAAGAAGUCAGCAUUCUUCGCGCUCGGAAGGUGUUGAAGUAGGAUAGAAAGAAGUAUGAAAAUUUUUACAUUACGACAAUGGGACAGAAACAUUCUCAUGUUUGUGAGAUCAUGUACAAUCUUCUUGAAUGUAACCGUUUCUUGUUGAUACUGGCAAUGAGUUAUGUUGACACAACGCAACCUGUUCUGGCUCCUCGUUGAAUAUUAUGAACAUAUUAUGACAGAUAUGCCAUCCGAAGAUCAAGAAAAUUAGAUAGCACGUGCUAUUUUGAAAAUUGGAUAAUGGAUUUGACGAAGUCUAUGCAAGUGUGAUUCGCCGGUUCGCUCUAACUGUGACGCUUGUUUAAAUCUCAAUUCCAACGUUUCAUGCACUCGCCGAGGGCCAAGAGUCUCCACUAAUAACUCGGAUCAAUGUGAAUCUCCGUGUCGAUCAAAAUCAAAGAUCUUCUUUGGAAAAGUCAAUACGUCAACAAACAAGGCGUCAGUUGAAUUUCGUCUGAACUUUGCACAAACACUGGAAAAUCCCAAUGUUAACUGAUAUCUCGGGUUAAUGAAAUUUAUAAAGCCGCAAAGAGAGACGCAAAAGUAAAAAGUAGAGACGGCUUUUUGCCGAGAUAUUCGGCAAUCUUUUGCAACGGAUUUGAGCUGUGGCCAAUAUUAGAGCAAUAAAAAAGCUCAUCGGAGACUACCGUGGCUUGUUUCAAAGCGACGGUAAUGGGGCUUGAAAGCUGCCGGCUAGGAAAAGGAAGUAGAAGGAGAAAGGGGUGACGGUGAGAGGAAAAAAUCGGAGAAGAGACGAGAGACAUUCGUCUUCGAAGGCGUUCAACCAUUUGAUAGCGGAACCACCCAGCGUUAACAUUGCUUGCUUCUUUCAAUAAAAGAAAUCGACUGCAACAGUCGGAAACCUUUAUUGAAAUGACAAUCGUGAAAAUUUGAAUUUCCAUGGAUUGAAAGAAUGUCAUCUAUGCAAACAAACAUUGCAUGAUACGUUAAAUGAAAUAUUUUUUGAAAAUACAAUGAAAUAAGAUCCGAAAUUGUAUCUUUUGCA